rnacentral:rRNA from 1 species
UACGUAGGGGGCAAGCGUUGUCCGGAAUCAUUGGGCGUAAAGCGCGUGUAGGCGGCCCGGUAAGUCCGCUGUGAAAGUCCAGGGCUCAACCCUGGAAUGCCGGUGGAAACUGUCGGGCUAGAGUCCGGAAGAGGCGAGUGGAAUUCCUGGUGUAGCGGUGAAAUGCGCAGAUAUCAGGAGGAACACCGAUGGCGAAGGCAGCCCCCUGGGUCAAGACUGACGCUCACGCACGAAAGCGUGGGGAGCAAACAGG